rnacentral:rRNA from 1 species
CCUACGGGAGGCAGCAGUGAGGAAUAUUGGUCAAUGGGCGCGAGCCUGAACCAGCCAAGUAGCGUGAAGGAUGACUGCCCUACGGGUUGUAAACUUCUUUUAUAAAGGAAUAAAGUGAGGCACGUGUGCCUUUUUGUAUGUACUUUAUGAAUAAGGAUCGGCUAACUCCGUGCCCGCAGCCGCGGUUAUACGGAGGAUCCGAGCGUUAUCCGGAUUUAGUGGGUUUAAAGGGAGCGUAGAUGGGUUGUUAAGUCAGUUGUGAAAGUUUGCGGCUCAACCGUAAAAUUGCAAUUGAUACUGGCAGCCUUGAGUACAGUUGAGGUAGGCGGAAUUCGUGGUGUAGCGGUGAAAUGCUUAGAUAUCACGAAGAACACCGAUGGCGAAGGCGGCCUACUAAACUGCCACUGACAUUGAUGCUCGAAAGUGUGGGUAUCAAACAGGAUUAGAUACCCGAGUAGUC